GCCCGCCGGGAGGGGCUGCGGCGCAGACGCAGGAGGAGCGGGAGACAGGCCGCCGGGUUCCUGAGUUCCACCCGGGAGAGUGUCAGAGAAGAGAGAACAGCCGGGGUCUGCGAGGGGGGCAGGCGCUGAGGAAGCCCUCACUCCCACGGCCAUCAGCUGGGAUGGGAUGACAGGCUGGAGAAGGAACGGUUAAUCACAUCUGGCGGGUUUCCUUAGAACCCAGCCCGGGGCGGGGGCUAGGUCCACAGACAUCCGCGGAGGCGGCAGAGGGCUGCCCCUGGAGGCUGGUGUGAGGACGCCACGCUCUGCGCUGGGGCUGCAGGCGACCUCUGUCGGGAAGAGCGGCGGGGGUCCUGUGGUGAGCAUAAGAAGUGAUCUCCUACAUGUAAACUUCAAAUUAAGUAAAUUCUUGGCAUAGAUCCAUGAAAGGAGAACGCACCUGAAGGGGACCAUGUGAACCUUUGGGGAUCCAGAGUUGAGUAACACUUAGUCCAUUUCCUUCCGGAGCUGAGGACUCCAAUGGAGGCAGAAUCCCACAGACAGCGGAGCCUGGUGGGCUACAGUCCAUGGGAUCCUAAAGAGCUGGACAUGCCUGAAGAGACUUGGCACACACAGGCCAUUUGGCAUUUCAGAAGUAAAGCCUCAAAGUGUUAAGAGAACUUUUGAAAGCUGACAGUGUCAUGACCCAGAGGGCAUCACCUGUUACGGCUCAGUCCACAAAGGUCCAGGGAGGAGAGAGCUGCUGCUUUGGAGGGUUGGAUCACUUCCUCACCACUUACACCUGAUUCCAAGAAACUUCCCCAAAUGAUCACGUAAUUGUUGAUACACUCUCUGCCUUUGUGACGCAUGAGGGGCCCUCUUUCCUCUUCCUUUAAUCUGCCUUCUGCUUUUUCAUUGAUCCGUUUAGUGCAUCAUCAGAGGACCUUGCAGGUACCUGGCAGAUGUCAAGCUCAGCUGCCAAAUAAAGUCCGGACGUUCGGUGGUGCCGCAACGCCUUCCUUUGUUUGCUGGGGGCCCAACUCCUGGAGGUUGGCUUGGUCCCAGGGAGACCCAGGCCCCUCAAUAUCUCAUCCUGGACCACGGUCCAUCCCUCGGAAACCCUUUCUCAGCAUCAGCCACUGCAUCCUUGGCAUAAAAGACGACUAGGUACAUGAAGGUCUGUGGUCGCCCCCCUGUCAAAUAGCCCUGCUCUUCGAAGUAGAGGAGACUGGAGUUAGAAAGUAUGACAUAAAAGAAAAGACAAACUAAUUAGCUUGUCAAAUUCUUCUCAGACAGCACGGAUGCAAUAAUAGGUUUUUGCAUAAGGACGGAUGAUUUCUUGCUAAUGCAGGGCUUUGCUUCCAUUACUUUGAUCUAUUUUGUAUACUGAUUUUUGCUCCAAAGGUAUUUGUGAAUUAGCACCGAUUUCACAAGAGUUGUGAAAGACAGAUCAAGGGACAUUUUAGCGGGACAUUUUUAAACGCAUCAAGCUCCUCUUACACGUGCUUCCCUCAUGGCUCAGAUGGUAAAGCGUCGGCCUGCAAUGUGGGAGACCCGGGUUCAGCCCCUGGAUGGGGAAGAUCCCCUGGAGAAGGAAAUGGCAACCCACUCCAGUACUCUUGCCCGGAGUAUCCCAUGGACGGAGGAGCCUGGCAGGCUACAGUCCAUGGGGUCACAGAGAGUUGGACAUGACUGAGUGACUUCACUUUCGCUUUUCACUCUUACUGUGCCCAUGAAGGUGUAGUUGUUACAUAGCUGAGGUGUGAUACCAGUUUUUUACCUGGGAGCUCAGUGGGUGUUAAACACAAAACUGUGAAUUAUUUUUAGUAAAAGUAGUUAAAAAGACUUUAUUAAAUUUUUAAAAGCACAUUUCAGCCUGUUUGAAUAUUUUGAUGUAGAAUGCUGUUAUUCACUAAUUUAUGGCUUGUACUUUGCAGGACUGUUAGAAAGAAGAUGUAAAAAUCCUCAAAAAUUCAUGCAGUACAAAUAAUCCUCAAAUGAAUUUUUAAGGGAACUGUUUUGACCAUGAACAACUUUAUUUCAAUUUUUGGUUUAAUUUAAAAUUUCCCUUCCAUGAAACACUUCAAAGGACUACAGAAAUAUUUUGUGAAUCCAGCUACCAAUUUACGGAAAAAUUGAUAUAUAAAUAAGUUAUCUGUAUGAUUAAAUAAAAUUAUUUUUAUAUUUGCUGCAAUAAUAACAACUCAUCCCAUUCAACCACAUUAUAGUAUUUGAUCAUGGUAUA